CCUACGGGUGGCAGCAGUGAGGAAUAUUGGUCAAUGGGCGGAAGCCUGAACCAGCCAAGUAGCGUGCAGGAUGACGGCUCUACGGGUUGUAAACUGCUGUUAUACGGGAAUAACGCGCCUUACGUGUAGGGCUUUGCAUGUACCGUAUGAAUAAGGACCGGCUAAUUCCGUGCCAGCAGCCGCGGGAAUACGGAGGGUCCGGGCGUUAUCCGGAAUUAGUGGGUGUAAAGGGAGCGUAGGGCGCAUGACAAGCGUGCUGUGAAAUGUCCGGGCUCAACCCGGGCCUUGCAGCGCGAACUGGCGUGCGUGAGUCCGCGGAAAGCAGGCGGAAUUCGUGGUGUAGCGGUGAAAUGCUUAGAUAUGACGAAGAACCCCGAUGGCGAAGGCAGCUUGCUGCAGCGGAACUGACGCUGAUGCUCGAAAGCGCGGGUAUCGAACAGGAUUAGAUACCCCUGUAGUC
rnacentral:rRNA from 1 species